rnacentral:rRNA from 1 species
UACGAAGGGGGCUAGCGUUGCUCGGAAUCACUGGGCGUAAAGCGCACGUAGGCGGAUCUUUAAGUCAGGGGUGAAAUCCUGGAGCUCAACUCCAGAACUGCCUUUGAUACUGGGGAUCUCGAGUCCGGAAGAGGUGAGUGGAAUUCCGAGUGUAGAGGUGAAAUUCGUAGAUAUUCGGAGGAACACCAGUGGCGAAGGCGGCUCACUGGUCCGGUACUGACGCUGAGGUGCGAAAGCGUGGGGAGCAAACAGG